UGUGUGUGGCCAAACGGAGAGUUGCAUCCUUAGUAAAGUCGACAGGAGGAAAGAGAACUGACUUUUUUAAAGUUUAAUUAAAACAAUUAGCUGAAGCCACUCCCACGCCACUACGAAACCGUGAAAGGAAAAACACACUGAAGUCAACAGUGAGUGGUUUUUUAACUAACAACAGAAAGUUUAGCACAUUUUAAUUAAAACAGGUGGGAGGUUAAUUAGCUUGUGCAGGUUAGUCGACGGCGUCCGUGUGACGCAGAUAACUUUUUUGUCGACAAAGCGACUUUUACAGCAACAAAUGGAGUGUGACAUUGAAACUUUAUCAACUUGAAAGAAAGGAGAAUUAACUACCAACGUCAAAAACUCUUCAUCUGAGCGCUGGACGUGGAAACUUCGUCUACACGAAAGAAAGAAGAAUUGAACUACCAACUUCAAAAACGACUACAAAAUAUGAGGCACCCACUGGGAAUUUUGAACAUUUCAGAAGUUUGUUGGCCAGAUCUCCAACUUCACAUUUGAAUGACAGCUAUGCUCGGUGGGGCUUGAGGUCUGCUGACUGCAGAAGGAAAUCCUUGCAAGUCAGCUCUUCCUGAGGACUUCAAAUACAGCUUUGAUGCAUGUUUAGGCUCACGGCUUCCCACUGCAGAAGAGAGUGAAAGUUCUCUUUUGGUCAGUGUGGAGUUGAUCCUGCACAACUUCAAAGUCUUUCACUCUGGAAUACAUAACGACAGGAACACGAAUUUUACCUUUUCUGCUUCUGUUUCAUUAACGUCUCUUCACCUCCUCCAGUUACAUGUUCAAACUGAGAUUCAUCUGUAAACAGACUAUUUUUCUUAACUGUUCUGUUUAGACGUAGUCCCACAAACACGUGCUGCUGCCGUACUCGCAUGAGCAUCUGUUCCCGGACCUAAUUGCUAUCACACACUGAUAAAAUGAUUCUGUUCAUUUUCAACAAAUCAUGUACAUUUUGGUUCAGGCAUGAUCUCUGAAAACAUAAAAAGGCGCUCUCUAUCAAUUGAGAAAAGACUGCAAGACAACAGAUCUUUCAGCAACAAAUAUCGUUGAUGUUCACUGAGAUAUCUAGGACGUGCGUUACAUGACAUUUCACCAAAACCACAAUGUUUUUCUAACCUCAACCAAAAGCACACAUGGAGCCCGUGAGAGGAUGUCAAGCCUGGACUUCAAUGUCAAAGUCCAGUGCGUUUGUCAGGCUGUCAGACAUAUCAGACAGGCUGACUAAAACAUCUGUACAACCAUGAAGAGUGUGGGUGUAUUUCAUGUGGGGUGAAAAUGUGGAUAUUGAACUCAAGCAAAGCACAAAUAUUAAAUGAUACAAAUAUAUAUAUUUUAAGGGUAUAACGAUCAUGUUUUUUGUUUGGACAUCACGAACAUAAGAUUGAAUUUGUGUUCAUGAGAACUUAAUCAUUGAGUUUGCAGACAGGUUUAACUGGGAAAACAAAUGAGAAUUACACCAAUGCAAUUUCAAGGAGAUUUGGUUCACUGCUGAAUGCUGAAUGGUGGUAACGGCGACCUCGUUAACCUCGUGUACUGAUGGUAUACUUAGCAGGACAAAGAGUGAAAAGACAGAGUACUGACUGCACCAGGUUCAAGGGUAUCACUGCAAAAACAGCCUAUAAAUGUAUCAUUAUUUAUAUUUCGGCCCUCUGAUUGGAUAACGAAAGGCAACGUCGCUGUAUGGAACUGUUAUGAGGCUCGCUCCUGUACCCAGUGAAGGUCGAAUAGACCGAAACGUCGAAGAUUAAUAAAAAAUACCAGCAGUGAGCGAGAGGCAUUUCAUUUUUAUUCAGGUUAUGCUUUUUCACCGAUGCACCUGUCACACACUGAGAUGUGCAGAGACUUUUGUCCAAUUUUUGGCGACACUUUCGAACCCGCUAGCGAAUGCUCCAAGGUUUACUUACUGGCUCCCACGACCCAGGUGUUGGGA